AUUGAACGCUGGCGGCAGGCCUAACACCUGCAAGUCGAGCGGAGCGGCGGCCGGGUGAGUACUGCCUAGGAAUCUGCCUGGUAGUGGGGGAUAACGUCCGGCAACGGGCGCUAAUACCGCAUACUAUCAGAUGAGCCUAGGCCGGAUUCGCUAGGUGGUUGGGUAAAGGCUUACCAAGGCGACGAUCCGUAACUGGUCUGAGAGGAUGAUCAGUCACACUUGAACGGAGACAAGGUCCAGACUCCGACGGGAGGCAGCAGUGGGGAAUAUUGGACAAGGGGCGAAAGCCUGAUCCAUCCAUGCCGCGUGUGUGAAGAAGGGCUUCGGAGUGUAAAGCACGUUAAGGGGGGAGGCGUUACCAACAGAAUAAGCACCGGCUAACUUCGUGCCAGCAGCCGCGGUAAUAC
rnacentral:rRNA from 1 species